rnacentral:rRNA from 1 species
UACGGAGGAUGCGAGCGUUAUCCGGAUUUAUUGGGUUUAAAGGGUGCGCAGGCGGCGUGUCAAGUCGGCGGUAAAAUGUCGGGGCUCAACCCCGGCCGGCCGUUGAAACUGGCGUGCUCGAGUUGGAGAGAAGUAUGCGGAAUUCGUGGUGUAGCGGUGAAAUGCAUAGAUAUCACGAAGAACCCCGAUUGCGAAGGCAGCAUACCGGCUCCACACUGACGCUGAGGCACGAAAGCGUGGGUAUCGAACAGG